rnacentral:rRNA from 1 species
UGGCCGCACGCGCGUACACUGAUGAAGUCAACAAGUCAUCACCUUUAUCGGAAGAUAUGGGUAAUCUUUUGAAACUUCAUCGUGCUGGGGAUAGAGCAUUGCAACUAUUGCUCUUAAACGAGGAAUCCCUAGUAAGCACAAGUCACCAGCUUGUGCUGAUUACGUCCCUGCCCUUUGUACACACCGCCCGUCGCUACUACCGAUUGAAUGGCUUAGUGAGGCCCUCGGAUCGAUACUCGGAGACUGGCAACAGUUUCCGUUUGUUGAGGAGUUGGUCAAACUUGGUCAUUUAGAGGAAGUAAAAGUCGUAACAAGGUUUCCGUAGGUGAACCUGCGGAAGGAUCAUUA